CUUGGCCUGCAUCUCUGUCCUCCAACCGAGUGACAAAAUCAUCCAUCUAUUCAACAAGCUCCUCAUCCUCACUGACAACGGCAAAUGUU
rnacentral:ribozyme from 1 species